AGGGAAUCUGACAUUUUGUGCAGAGUUGGUGGUGGCAAGAGUCAAAAAACAGGAACAGAGACGAGACUGGGCUGGAAUAUCCUUAGGCACAGGGGGAUCAAGACAGAAAACAGCUGCUCAAGGUUACCCUGAAGGUCCCCCACGUUCAGGUCCCUCUCUUUCCCCUGGCGAACGUUCCUCCUGAAUAAAGGAGAAGACAGAGAGAAGCAAAGAGAGACAGGAGUAAAAGUCCUGAGUCCUGGAGGGAUGGGUGUUUCAAAUGACACCUCCAGAUGUGCUGAUGAAGAGCGGGGAGAGGAAGAAAGGGGAGAUGAGGGGCGAAGAGUAGCAAACAUGAGGUUAUGUUUUAGCAAAGAGAACGAAUUAACGCAAGGAAUGGGGAGGAAAGAGAGGAGAAAAGAUGAGUAGAGGAGGGAGUGAGUGGAGAAGGGAGAGAGCGAAAGAGGAAAAGCAGAAGAAAAAAGAGAAAAUUAGGCGACAAGACGGGAAAGGAUAAUGAUAAGAGAUGUUAAGAAUAAAAUUCUUCUUUUAUUCGAAUUCAAGCCCCCGGGUAUCAUUAUUGAGUGUUCAGUGUGUUUUGAGUGUCUAUGUGUGUGUGUGUGUGUGUGUG